CGACUGAUGAGCCAGCAUGGCUGCCGUGUAGCGUACGGAUAAGACGAAAGCUUUGUUUAUAAUUGUAUUAAAACUGCUCAGCCAGAUAAAAUUGGUGAAUGUAGUGAAGGAUGUCAAUCAUUCCCGCUGCUACGCAGCUAAUUUCAUAAGUAAAUGCCAUAAACAGCAAAAAAUGAAAAAAGACGAAGAAGAAGUAAUUCUUUCUGUUCGAGAUCAACGGAUUUCGGUCGCAGGAGCGUGUUUUUGUGAAGUGCAUUUUGAAGAAAACCAGUUUGAAUGUUCUAGGAAAGAUGGGUUUAAAAAACUAAAGCCUUGUUUAAUGUGCCUAAUCCAACACAACUGUUGACCCCACAGCAUGUAAAAGGCAUUGGGUUUACCAAACUACCAUUCAAUGAUAUCCAGUUUUUAAAAUGUAUGUUUUUUUAAGUUUUAUAGUUUUCAUAAAAAAUGUUUCAUAUUAAAAAUGGACUAAUUUGUUUUAUAAAUAAAUCAAAAUAUUGAAAUUCAGGCAUUAUAUGAUUAAGCUUUAAUUUCAGUGCUUAAGAAUAGAUUAAAAAUUGAAAUUUUUAAUAGAUAAUAAUUCAUAAUACUGUUUAAAUUUUGCUGUUAUAUAUAUAUAAUUAAAUGUGUAUUUUAUUAUAAUAAUCAUAUUUAAAAUGAGGCAUAAAAGCAACCUCAAUUUGAUAUAGUUUUUGAUUAAAAUUACUGAUUUCGAGGCCUAUCAGACACAGGUCUCAUUUCUUCAGAUUUGCCCCUAAAAAAGAGAAACCUGUAUUUGAUUGCCUUCAAAGUCUACAGAGGUUUGUUCAAAAUCAGGAUUAAACUAAAAUAACUUUUUUGCUUAAUUUUAAAUUUUACAUAUAUAUAGGAAUAUGCAUUAAGUAAGCAAAAGAACAGUAUUAUUGAAAGUAAUAAUUUUGAGUAAUAUAAUAAUAUGGUAAUGUAUGUUUUAAUGUCCUAUAUGUCUCUUCUAAGUCCUACCUUUCAGAAGUGGGGCUUCAUUGUUUAAAUAAUGUAAAGUCCUUCACCUAUUAUAAAUUUCAGAUUUUACAUAGAAAUAUCAUACAAAGUAAAUUUGCAGUACUCAAUUACAUUAUUGUUUCCAUCAUUAUUGGAUUAAUUUGAAGUUAGUCAUUAAGGUUAAGUAUUUAUAAAAUGUUUGUAUUUUGUUCACAAAAACUUCCAUCAUGUAGCAGUUACUUUUAUGUUAUGGAAGAUAUCAAGCUCUGCUAAAUCAAAUUUACUUUUGUGUGACCUUAAAUCUUAAGCACCAAUCGUAAAUUUGUUUUGGCAUAUUUUUAAGAAUUUGAAUGAAAAAUUUAUUGCUACUGUGAAAGAAUGAUCAACUGAUGUUUACCUUACUAAUCAAUGUCUUACAGUGUUGUAAUGAUUCGCAGGAUUUUUCAUAAUGUGAUGUUGCAUAUAUGUUUUGAUCUUAUCAAAUAAAUAUAAAGAAUGUAUUCCUAAUCAGAUAUUUCUUCUUACGUAAGAUUAUUAUCUAUCAUGAUGUGAUGCUUAGGAUUUGUUUUUAGAAGCCAAAACACUAUUUUUUGAGAUGCUAAUAAAAGCAAUGUAUUUUA
rnacentral:lncRNA from 1 species